rnacentral:lncRNA from 1 species
AGUUACUAUGACAUGGAUGCAGUCCCGACUCCCAAGGUGAUCAUCGACCUGGAUUCUGACCCGGAUGCAACUGUUGUGGAGAUCACCUUUGGUGAUCGUCUCGGAGCACUUGUGGAUACUGUAAGAACGAAUUACUUGGUGUUCUCAUCCCACUCUUGCUUUUUCUGUGACCGUGACAAGGAUUAGUAUAGUCAUGUAUGUGCUCAAUAGUUGUCUUGUUGUGCUUUUGCAUGUGUGUAUACAAUCAUUUUGCACAUCUUAAAAGGUCAAGUGUUUGACAGAUGACGGCUCUCAAAAACCUUGGACUUAAUGUGGUGAAGGGUAACGUCUUUUUUGAUUCUUCAGGCAAGCAUAACAGAUUUUCCAUCACU